AUACGGAGGAUGCGAGCGUUAUCCGGAUUUAUUGGGUUUAAAGGGUGCGCAGGCGGGCGAUUAAGUCAGCGGUGAAAGGCUCGGGCUCAACCGGAGCAGUGCCGUUGAUACUGGUUGUCUUGAAUGCGGUCAAGGCCGGCGGAAUGUGGCGUGUAGAGGUGAAAUGCAUAGAAAUGCCACAGAACACCGAUAGCGAAGGCAGCUGGCCGGGCCUGCAUUGACGCUGAGGCACGAAAGCGUGGGGAUCGAACAGGAUUAGAUACCCUGGUAGUCCACGCUGUAAACGAUGGACACUCGUCGUCGGCGACAGACAGUCGGCGGCCAAGCGAAAGUGAUAAGUGUCCCACCUGGGGAGUACGGUCGCAAGGUUGAAACUCAAAUGAAUUGACGGGG
rnacentral:rRNA from 1 species